GACGUAGGGUGCGAGCGUUGUCCGGAUUUAUUGGGCGUAAAGAGCUCGUAGGCGGCUCGUCGCGUCAGCUGUGAAAACCCGCGGCUUAACUGUGGGCUUGCAGCUGAUACGGGCGGGCUAGAGUUCGGUAGGGGAGACUGGAAUUCCUGGUGUAGCGGUGAAAUGCGCAGAUAUCAGGAGGAACACCGGUGGCGAAGGCGGGUCUCUGGGCCGAUACUGACGCUGAGGAGCGAAAGCGUGGGGAGCGAACAGG
rnacentral:rRNA from 1 species